rnacentral:rRNA from 1 species
AUAUCAGUCAUGCAUAGCAUAUCAAUAAGCGGAGGAAAAGAAGCUAACAAGGAUUCCCUUAGUAACGGCGAGUGAAGCGGGAAGAGCUCAAAUUUGAAAUCUUCAAGGUUUUACCUUGACGAAUUGUAGUUUAAAGAAGUGUUUUCUGUUGAAGUUUUGGUAAAAGUUCUUUGGAAUAGGACAUCAUUAGAGGGUGAGAAUCCCGUAUUUGACCAUUACUUUCAGCUUUGUGAUACACUUUCAAAGAGUCGGAUUGUUUGGGAAUGCAGUCCAAAAUGGGUGGUAAAUCUCAUCUAAAGCUAAAUAUUGGCGAGAGACCGAUAGCGAACAAGUACCGUGAGGGAAAGAUGAAAAGAACUUUGAAAAGAGAGUUAAACAGUACGUGAAAUUGUCAAAAGGGAAGCGUUUGACACCAGUGUUGUUUUCUCGAAAAUCAAUUAAAAAGAGUUGGAUUUUGUGUUGUAUUGACUUUAUCAGCUUUCUUCACUCUUUUCCAGCUUUUUUUAAUGCACUUUUCGUUUAACAAGUCAACAUCAGUUUCUUUUGUUGUAAAAAGGUCAUUGGAAGGUGGCUUUCUCUUCGGAGAAAGUGUUUAUAGCCUUUGACUCAUGCAAUCGGAGAGACUGAGGUCUGCAGCGUAGAUCCUUCGGGGUUAGAUACAUUUGUGCUAAGUUAUAGCUUUUCAUAGACAACUUGUUGACUAUGUUUAGUCUUGUAGCUUACUCGCUUAUGCUAUUUUACCUACGCUUAGGAUGUUGAACUCUAUCACACACAG